rnacentral:lncRNA from 1 species
CUUGGUUCCUCCCCCUCUCCCCCACCACCUCUACUGCUUUCAAAUGGCCAGUGCCCUGCUGGGAUUUUGCUGUUUAAAUGUUUCACAUCCACUUAGGGCUGAAUAACCAUGACAUUGCGGAACAUUUCUCUGUGGCCAUUUCUCAACAUCUCAUCUUACGUGGUUGACGAUUAGUUGUUUCUAGAGUCCUCUACAAAUAUGCAUUUCCUUUGAAAUAAAAAUACGUGAAACUAAAUAACA